UUUCUGCCUGUACAUGAGAUAAAAGCAUAAUUUAAUGAAGAUUAAAUAAUUAAAUAUAGUAGAAAAAAAACCCUAAAAGUUCUCUACCUCGACUCAGGCGCCGCAUCCCUCGUUGCUUCUAGAUCUGAGGUCUUCUCCGGCCGGCGUUCCUUGCCGUGUUGUGAGAGGACCUCCUCGAAAUUCUAUCUAAUAAUAGUGCUUGUGUAGUCUUUUGAGCUUCGGUGAGGAUGGUUAGUGAUGAAGUGUUACUCUGACGGUGGUGGCGUUAAGGAUAUCAAGCGAUGGCUUGUUAUGGUUCAAUUCGCUCUAGGUGAAGUCGGUUUCUGUGUCAUGGCGUGUCCUCCCUGCCGUGGAUGAUGGCAAAGAUGACUGUAGAUCUGAGGGCUUUUGAAUCUGGCUUGAUGGGACUGCAUUGCUGUUGGUUGGUUAACCUUCGUCUCUGACUUCUCUCUGUUAUGGCUUAGUAUUUAGCGGUUCAUUUUCGUGUGGUCAAGAUGAGUGUGUUUGUGGCUGGUUUCUGUGUUGUUGUUCUAGCUCUUCUGGUGGUCUAAGGCUUGGCUGGAUUGUCGGUUCUAAACCCUAUUUGUUUUCUGGUACGCGGUUGUUAUUUUAACCGGUUCUGAUGUGGGGUCUUAAUUGCUUGGGUUUAGUUUGUCAGUUCUUCAAGUGAGGCAUCGGAGGUUGCUGGGCUCUGCCCUCUAGGUCGCAGCAUCUCAUCCUCGGAUUUUAGAGGAUCUUAAAGAAUUCUCGCAAGGAUUGUUAGUGUUUUUUUAAGGAGAAGUUGAUUUCUUUGAUGUCUUGGAGUUGGUUUGGUUGGGCGACAUUGUGUAAAGGAGCAUGUUUCUGGUCUUCAGUUUGGGUCCUUCGUCUGUGGACUCCAUCUUUGCUUCCCUUUUGAGGCAUCUGGUUUCUUUCCUAGUGUCGUCACUGGUUUUUCCUCCUCGUUCUUCCUUUGUGGUUAAGUUCAGAUUUCAGUGGUGUAGCAGCAAAGCCAAGAAGUUGUGUGGUCCCUUGGUCUGUAAACUACGGGUUUUCCGGUUUACUUGGUAAGGGACCGAGGAGCCUUUGCUCAAUCGCGAUCGGUCUUCGAGCAGUUGAUUGCCAAACGUCCCUCUUCUUUGGCUGCUCGGGUUGUAGGUGUGUUCCUUUCUUGGCUUCUUUUGACGAAGCAGUGGUAAGUCCGGUUUGUGUUUGGUGGUUCCAUGGUGGAACUGUGUUAUAAGAUUGGCUUUCAACCCCAAUAAGUUAGGCUGCAUUACUUUCUCAAUCAAUCCUGUUUCGGUUUCGUUGCUCUUCACCAAACUUGAAGUUUAUGGUAGUGCUCCAGUUCGCCUUUGUUAUCUUUUCUCUUUUGUUGUUUGUAAGCUUUUGGAGUUUGUGUUAUCUCCAAACUUUGUCUCCGGAUGGUUUUCAUUUACCAUUCCGGCUAUUGGCUCCGCGUCCCUUGCGACUUUGUGUAAGUUGAUGGUUAAAAUUAAUAUUAAUCCACCGGAUGAAAAAAAAAUAGAUUUUGGGUGUAUUUGUGUUGUGGAGAAAGUAAUAGGGUAAAGAAGUGAUUAUAAGAAAAUAUCGGGGUUAAAGAGAAAUAUAGAUUUUGUGUGUAUUUGUGUUGUGGAGAAACUAAUAGGAUAAAGAAGUGAUUAUAAGACAAUAUUGGGGUUAAAAAGAAAGAAAAAAAAAACAGAAUCUCUAUAAAUGUAGCUUCCGCGAAACCUUAAGCCGCCUUUCAUUCAGUCUUUCUCUAAUCAGAUCUUGGAUGAUCAGAUCUCGGCGUGAAGAUAGCGAAGAUCCAGAUCUCUCUCUCUCUCGGCGUCUGCAAGUAUGAAUCACAUUCAUUUUCACGCUUCACCCUACGACUGCUUAAAAUUCUGUCCGAGUACAGUAGAAGUCUUCGAUAAAUUCCUAAAGCCGUUCAUCCGGGGUGAUCUCAACAUGCACAGAUCCUUGGUCACUCUUUUUAAAAAUUUCUAUGAGUCUGGUCCUGAACAGCUGCCUGGCUUGGAAAACUUUGAAGAUAGCGAGUACUAUCAUCCACGCAACUAUUGGUUUCUUAUCAACAGUACCAGCCUGUAGCCAAUCUCCGAGUAAACCAGCCUGGAACUGGAACUGGAACCUACGCCUUCACCGCCCUCAACCAGCCUGACGAUCUCUUCUACGACGGCUACAAUAUCGAUGCUUUAUACGGCGAUGGCCAAGAUCGAGUUCCCGCCCAAGAUGACAUUUACGACGAGCUCUCACCGCUUGAAGCCCGAGUUAGAGUUCCCAUUACCCAAGAUCGGGCAGGAGAACCAGAUCAUGCAACACUAGGAGAAUCAGAUGGAGUUCGUGUAGCAGCAGCAGAUGACCCUUUCGGACUGGAUCCCCAUAUCAACAAAACGAGCAACAGAAGGAAGUAGAGCUCUCUCUCUCUCUCUCUCUCUCUCUCUCUCUCUCUCUCUCUCUCUUGCUACCAUCUCGGUAGAAGAAGACUAGCUGAUAAAUAGACUAUGCAUGUUUUAGCCAAGUGUCUUUACCUUACAACUGCUUGACACGGUUUUGUUUCCAUAAAUGAACAGGUUUAUAUAAUGAAUUUUUUUUUUUU